rnacentral:rRNA from 1 species
CCCUACUGCUAUUUGGGUGAGGAUAAGCCAUGCGAGUUGAAUGGGAUACCUAGAGUUCCCAUGGCAAACUGCUCAGUAACACAUGAUCAACUUACCCUAUAGAGAAAAAUAACCUCGGGAAACUGAGGAUAAUGUUUCAUAGUUGAAUUGGCUUGGAAAAGUUUUUCGACGAAAAGGGUAAAAAGAAUGGUUUUUAUCUGCUAUAGGAUAGGAUCGUGUUCGAUUAUGGUUGUUGGUGAGGUAAUGGCUCACCAAGCCGAUAAUCGAUAGGGGCCGUGAGAGCGGGAGCCCCGAGAUGGGUACUGAGACAACGACCCAGGCCUUACGAGGCGCAGCAGGCGCGGAACCUCCGCAAUACACGAAAGUGUGACGGGGUUACCCAAAGUGUUCAAUUUUGAACUGUGGUAGGUGAGUAAUGUUCCCUACUAGAAAGGAGAGGGCAAGGCUGGUGCCAGCCGCCGCGGUAAAACCAGCUCUUCAAGUGGUCGGGAUAAUUAUUGGGCUUAAAGUGUCCGUAGCCGGUUUAGUAAGUUCCUGGUAAAAUCGGGUAGCUUAACUAUCUAUAUGCUAGGAAUACUACUAUACUANAGGGCGGGAGAGGUCUGAGGUACUACAGGGGUAGGGGUGAAA